rnacentral:rRNA from 1 species
UACGUAGGGUGCAAGCGUUAAUCGGAAUUACUGGGCGUAAAGCGUGCGCAGGCGGUUUUGUAAGUCUGUCGUGAAAUCCCCGGGCUCAACCUGGGAAUUGCGAUGGAGACUCGCAAGGCUGGAGUCUGGCAGAGGGGGGUAGAAUUCCACGUGUAGCAGUGAAAUGCGUAGAGAUGUGGAGGAACACCGAUGGCGAAGGCAGCCCCCUGGGUCAAGACUGACGCUCAUGCACGAAAG